GUUACGGUGGCCGAGUGGUUAAGGUGUAGGACUUAAAAUCCAAUGGGGCUUUGCCCUUCGGGGGUUCGAAUCCCUCCCGUAACG